rnacentral:rRNA from 1 species
GAUGAACGCUGGCGGCGUGCUUAACACAUGCAAGUCGAGCGGACAGACGAGGCUCUUGUGGCUCGGACGUUUGGCGCGGACGUGUGAAUAACAUGAGUAUAACCCACUUAACAGUCUGGGAUCAUCUCGGAAAUCCGGAUCAUACACCGUAUAAUAUAUUGCACCAUGGUGGGCAUUGGAAAAAUUCGGCGGUUGUGGAUCGACUCGAGGCGCAUUAGCUUGAUUGUAAGGUAGUGGCUUAACAAGGCUACGAUGGGUAGCCGACCUGGGAGAGUGAUCGGCCACACUGGAACUGAGACACGGUCCAGACUCCUACGGGAGGCAGCAGUAGGGAAUCUUCCGCAAUGGGCGAAAGCCUGGCGGAGCAACGCCGCGUGAGUGAUGAAGGUCUUCGGAUCGUAAAACUCUGUUAUUAGGGAAGAACAAAUGUGUAAGUAACUAUGCACGUCUUGACGGUACCUAAUCAGAAAGCCACGGCUAACUACGUG